UCCCCGCUUCUACCCCCGGCCGCCCACCAGCCGCACAUUGCCCGAGAGAGCUGCCGGGAGCUCCCCGGAGCCUCAGGUGGUGAAUACUCUACUGGAAAAUAAAAAAGUACUCCAAAAAUAAAAAAUAUGCCUCCCAAAUUUAAGCGCCACCUAAAUGAUGAUGAUGUCACUGGUUCUGUGAAAAGUGAAAGGAGAAAUCUUUUGGAAGAUGAUUCAGAUGAAGAAGAGGACUUUUUUCUAAGGGGACCAUCUGGACCAAGAUUUGGACCUAGAAAUGAUAAAAUCAAGCAUUUUCAGAAUCAAGUGGAUGAAGUUAUUGAUGUCAUGCAAGAAAAUAUCACAAAAGUAAUUGAAAGAGGGGAGAGACUAGGCGAACUACAGGACAAGUCAGAAAGCUUAUCGGAUAAUGCAGCUGCUUUUAGCAACAGAUCCAAACAGCUACGAAGGCAAGUGUGGUGGCACAGAUGCAAAAUAAGAGCCAUCAUGGCUUUGGUUGCUGCUGUCCUUUUGCUAGUGGUCAUCAUUCUUAUAGUUAUGAAAUACCGUACUUGA